CGGCGUGGGAGCCAGAAGUCUGCCUAUAUCCGAGGGACUGGGAAUCGGUACUCCUGGGUCCCUAAGAGGCGUGACGCUUGGUUUGGUGUCUCCGUCACUACAGGAGGUCCGGAGGGGGUAACCGCUGGCCGCAUUCGGACCCUGAGCACAGCGACUGGGCGGGUUAAAUUCUGACCCUCUCGCGACCGGCCUAAGAGAAGAGUCGAGGCUUCGCCGAACUAGAGAAAGUCAGCUCGGACGCGGCGCUUAGAGAUCCGCCGCCAGGCCACCCCGUCGCCAACUAGUCUUCGCCCGCGUCACCACGGAUUGGUGUUCCACAGAGAAGGUAACCGAGGUUCAGCUGGGUAACGUGAGUCCCCGGGUCACACAAUCCGUUUGGGACCAAGCCAGGCUCCUCGGCGCCCAGGUCUGGGGUUUUUCCCCAUCACACCUGCUGCCUCUGAGCCAAAUACUGACAGUCAUCUGCAGAGAUCGGGAGGGAAAUCUAUAGUGAUGCAGUCAGGUUGGGUCAACCCUAGGAGGCUUACAGAGCACCCCGUCCUGGAGUCCCGAACCUGCAGUUCCGCUGCAAGUGGAGAGAUUGCGGGGCAUCCGGACAUUUGGUUGGCGGAAAUACCUCCUUAUCUUCCCUAACCUCGAACUAGCAUGGAGCAUUUCCAGGCACAAGAAAAAAUGUUUUAGGGGACAGCUGGGUGGCUCAGUGGAUGGAGAGCCAGGCCCAGAGAUGGGAGGUCCUGGAUUCAAAUCCGAUCUCAGACACUUCCCAGCUGUGUGACCCUGGGUAAGUCACUUAACCCUCAUUGCCUGGCCCUUACUGCUCUUCUGCCUUAGAACCAAUACACAGUAUGGAUUCUAAGACUGAAGGGUAGGGGGUACAAAAUGUGUACAAAAUAUUUCUAGCAGCUCUUUUUAUAGUGACAAAGAAUUGGAAUGUGAAAGAAUGCCCAUCAGUUGGGGCUUGGCUAAACAAGUAGUGAUAUACGAUUGUGAUGAAAUACAGUCGUGCUAUAAGAAAUACUGAGAAGAAUGUGUAGCAUCUUGGAAGUAUGAUUGGUGUAUUGAUAUUAUAUCUUAUGUGUUCAUAUACCAGAUUCCUGGUCAUGUUACUUAUUGAUUAUUGUGUUUCCAAAUCUUCAAUCCAAAGGACAAAAGAGUUCCUGAGCAGGAUAUUAUUUGGUGCAGGGUCCUAAAGCUCCCACCUUGUUAGACCACAUUCCUUACCAAGUCACAUGUUUGAUUAACCUCCUCCCCUUUGAUUACCUGAUUGUCAAUUGAGCCAAUGUCAAAGCCUAUGCCAUGUCCCAUGUUCAUUAGCUACCUCCCACUCCACUUUCCUAAACUCUCCAAUAAAAGUUUGAGGGCCCGUGUGGAGCUCUCUCUCAAUUCCAUCA